GGGGAAUAUUGGACAAUGGGGGAAACCCUGAUCCAGCAAUGCCGCGUGAGUGAAGAAGGCCUUAGGGUUGUAAAGCUCUUUCGCCCGCGAAGAUAAUGACGGUAGCGGGAGAAGAAGCCCCGGCUAACCCCGUGCCAGCAGCCGCGGUAAUACGGAGGGGGCUAGCGUUGUUCGGAAUUACUGGGCGUAAAGCGUACGUAGGCGGAUGCGCAAGUUGGGGGUGAAAUCCCGGGGCUUAACCUCGGAAUUGCCCUCAAAACUGCACGUCUUGAGACCGAGAGAGGUAAGGGGAAUUCCUAGUGUAGAGGUGAAAUUCGUAGAUAUUAGGAAGAACACCAGUGGCGAAGGCGCCUUACUGGCUCGGUACUGACGCUGAGGUACGAAAGCGUGGGGAGCAAACA
rnacentral:rRNA from 1 species